UAGAUGCAAUAUAAAUGCAACAAAUGUAAAAGUGGCUUCAGCAGUUUCUCAAAUUUAAGAAAACAUAUUAGGAAGCUUCACCCUGAAGAUUUGUUGGAUUUGGCGCCUUUCCGUUAUAGAAAAAAAAUUGAGUUUUCGAUUUUUUUUUGUGAUAUUUGCAAGAAAGCAUUUAAUCAAAAACAAAGUUUGUACAAACAUGCAAAAACCCAUAGUAUUAAUGUUCAAAACGCAACAAGUCAGGUAAAUACUGGUAGAAAUAAUCCCAAAGCUGGUAGGAAGUCAAAGAAAUGCCCACUUUGUGAAUAUUAUGGUCUUCAUAGGAAAGACUUGCUUCAGCAUUUCCAAAAUAUACAUAAGGUGCCAUUAGUUUCAAAAAACUUCAGUUUUGUUUCGAUUGAAGAAUUCAACCAAUGGAAAGUAACAGUGGAAAGGGAUACAAAUUCAAAAUAUAUUAAAGUAAGAACAGAAUCAUUUAAAUCCCAUGUAACAACAAACUAUGUAUGUCAUCGUUCUGGCAAUUAUGUGUCAGAAGGAAAAAAGACAUAUUAAGACGCAAGGGAGCAAUAAAAUCGGAAGUUUUCGUCCUGCAUAUCAGUGCAGUAUCUUGAAAGUCAUGUUGGGCAUUUAACUGACAUAGGUCACUUACAACUCACUCGGACAGAAAGACCAAAUUUGGCCACAAAAAUUGCAGCUAAGAUUCCUUUUGACGACAUUUUAGAUCAAGUUCGGGAAUCUAUUACUGAUUCCACAUUGAACAGAAUCCAUCUUGUGUCUAAAAAAGAUCUUUUUAAUAUUGAAAGCAGUUUCAACUUAUGCUGUUCUUCUGUUCGCCAAUCUAAUGAUGCCAUCAGCGUAGAGGAAUGGAUUAUAGAAAUGCAAAGAGUUGGAGACUGUAUUGUAUUUUAUAAAGCCCAAGGAACAGUUUCAAAUGAGAUUCCUCAAAUGAAAGACGAAGACUUCAUAUUAAUUAUAAUGACACCAGCACAAUGUCAAAUUUUAAACACGUUUGGCUCGGAGUCCAUAUGCAUUCACGGUACACAUGGGCUCAAUAAUUAUAAUUUUGAACUGCACACUUUGAUGAUCAUUGAUGAUAUGAGAGAAGGGUUUCCAUGUGCCUUUAUGUUGUCAAAUAGAUCAGAUACAUAUGUAUUUACAUUAUUUUUCAAUCAGAUAAAAAUUAAAACUGGAUUUAUAACACCACAGAUUUUCAUGUCAGAUCUGGCUGAAAGUUAUUUUAAUGCAUGGUUACAAGUGAUGGGUUAUCCUGGGAAAAGACUAUUCUGCACCUGGCACAUUGACCGAGCCUGGCGGACCAAUUUGCCAAAGGUUAAGAGUAAGGAAAAGCAGGUUUUGAUAUACAAACAAUUAAGAACACUUUUAGAGGAAAGAGAUGCAUUUGCUUUUGAAAGAAUAAUUCUGUAAUAAUUUAUCAGAUCCCGACACUACAGAUUUUAUACUUUUAUUUUAAGAACAAUUAUCAAAUAAAUUGCAGUAAUUGGGCUUACUGCUACAGAUUAUAUGCAGGGCUCAGGCAAAUAUGCACCUCGAGAGAAUGCAUAGAACGAUCAAGUAUGUCUAUUUGGGUGGAAAGAAAGUCAAAAGACUUGACAAAGGUAUUGCGGCCUUAAUGCGAUUUAUUAGAAACAAACUUAUUGACAGACUUAUUACCAUAAACAAAGGAAAAAUAUCCAGCAAAUUGAAGAACAUCCGUGAUCGUCAUAAGAAUGUUGGAAAAAUUGAUUAUUCUUCCAUUGUAAGCACUGAACACGGUUGGGAAAUUAUACCAUGGAAGAUGAGGACAACAAUUUAUAUAUCCACUGUGAUCAAAAAAAUGACCAGACAGACGUAAUUCUUAGCCAACUAUCAAAGGAAAAGAAAGCAAUUUCAUCAAUACAAGAUAGACAAGUGGCAAUAUUGGAUAAAUUUCAUAAAAUUCUUUACGGCGACAUUUCUAACGAAAAACUAGACAUAAUCGAAAAAAUUGUUGAUUCUCUUUCACAUACCUCGGCCGCUACAGACCAUUUAAAAGAAGUUGUGUCCACAAUCAGAAUAUAACGGCGCAGAGACGAUUAUGGUCAACAAAAAAAAAGUCAAGAGGACAAAUCGUCUCAAAAGACCUUCCACCAUGGAAGCCCAAAAACUUGCUUUAAAUAUUUUGUUAUCUGAUAAUAAAUAAAUAGAAACAAUAAAACAUAUGUUUAUGUCUUU